AGGUGGAAAUACAAAUGGUAUAGAAAAUGAUUCCAACAACAUACACGAAGGAAGCAAUAAUCAAUCUUUACCAGAAGCGAACAUCCAAACGGUACAAUCCAUACCCCCUGGUACAGUCAGCAUACAGGAAGGUACAAGUCUUGAAACUGCAGAUGUGCCAAGUGCCAUUAGUCAGCUGCACUCGUGGAGAGUACGGAGGCCAACUCAAGAAAGCGUGACCCCUCCUGGAAACCAAAGAGAUGGAGAACGUGAUCCAUUACCACUUUAAAAAUAGGAUAACUAAUUGAAGAAGAACUAACGACAACUGAAAAACUGAAUUACUAUAUAAUAUAUUCAGAGCGGGUGUUACGUAGGUUUCCAGAUUUAAUUUUGAAAUCAGGGGGGUGGAAGUACAUAUUAUGACUUCCACAGAGGAAAUUUCACAAUUUCGUAAUUCUCCUAAUGGGUAUGUAAACAUUGUAAAUUUAAAAACCGAUAACGUGUGAUAAAUCUUUAACUUGUACUAUAUAACAUAAA